rnacentral:tRNA from 4 species
GGGCGGGUGGCGGAACUGGCAGACGCACAGGACUUAAAAUCCUGACUGAGGCAACUCGGGUGAGGGUUCGAUUCCCUCCCCGCCCA